UUCCGGUAGAUCCUGCCGGAGACUACUGCUAUUGGGGUUCGACUAAGCCAUGCAAGCGGAGGGCAGUUCGGCUGCCCCGCGAACGGCUCAGUAACACGUAGUCAACCUACCCUUGGGUCGGGUAUAACCCCGGGAAACUGGGGAUAAUCCCUGAUAGGUGGGGGCACUGGAAAAGUCCCUCUCCCAAAGCUCCGGCGCCCAAGGACGGGACUGCGGCCCAUCAGGUAGUUGGCGGGGUAACGGCCCACCAAGCCGACAACGGGUACGGGCUGUGAGAGCAGGAGCCCGGAGAUGGAGACUGAGACAAGGCUCCAGGCCCUACGGGGCGCAGCAGGUGCGAAAACUUCGCAAUGCGCGAAAGCGUGACGAGGGAACCCCAAGUGCCGAUGGUCUUUUAGAUCGUCGGCUUUUCAAGAGUUUAAACCGCUCUUGGAAUAAGAGCUGGGUAAGACUGGUGCCAGCCGCCGCGGUAACACCAGCAGCUCAAGUGGUGGUCGCGAUUAUUGGGCCUAAAGCGUCUGUAGCCGGGCCAGUAAGUCCCUUGUGAAAUCGGACGGCUCAACCGUUCGGCUUGCGGGGGAAACUACCGGCCUUGGGGCCGGGAGACGUCGAGGGUACUCCGGGGGUAGCGGUGAAAUGCUGUAAUCCCUGGGGGACCACCAGUGGCGAAGGCGCUCGNCGAGAACGGACCUGACGGUGAGAGACGAAGGCUAGGGGAGCGAACCGGAUUAGAUACCCGGGUAGUCCUAGCUGUAAAGUAUGCUGGCUAGGUGUAGGGCGCUCCACGAGGGCGCCCGGUGCCGUAGGGAAGCCGUUAAGCCAGCCGCCUGGGAAGUACGGCCGCAAGGCUGAAACUUAAAGAAAUUGGCGGGGGAGCACCACAAGGGGUGGAGCCUGCGGUUUAAUUGGAUUCAACGCCGGACAACUCACCGGGGGCGACGGCAGUAUGAAGGCCAGGUCGACGACCUUGCCGGACGAGCCGAGAGGUGGUGCAUGGCCGCCGUCAGCUCGUACUGUGAAGCGUCCUGUUAAGUCAGGUAACGAGCGAGACCCUCAUCCAUAGUUGCCAUCAGUUAAAUGCUGGGCACUCUAUGGAGACCGCUGUCGCUAAGGCAGAGGAAGGAGAGGGCGACGGUAGGUCCGUAUGCCCCGAAUCCCCCGGGCUACACGCGGGCUACAAUGCGCAGGACAAAGAGCUGCGACUCCGUAAGGAGGAGCCAAACUCAUAAACCUGCGCCUAGUUCGGAUCGAGGGCUGAAACUCGCCCUCGUGAAGCUGGAAUCCCUAGUAAUCGCGUGCCACUAUCGCGCGGUGAAUACGUCCCUGCUCCUUGCACACACCGCCCGUCAAACCAUUCGAGUGGGGUUUGGAUGAGGCCUUUUCCAGUUGGAAAGGUCGAAUCCGGGUUCUGCAAGAAGGGUU
rnacentral:rRNA from 1 species